rnacentral:rRNA from 1 species
GAGUUUGAUCGUGGCUCAGAUUGAACGCUGGCGGCAUGCCUUACACAUGCAAGUCGAACGGUAACAGGUCUUCGGAUGCUGACGAGUGGCGAACGGGUGAGUAAUACAUCGGAACGUGCCCGAUCGUGGGGGGAUAACGGAGCGAAAGCUUUGCUAAUACCGCAUACGAUCUACGGAUGAAAGCAGGGGACCGCAAGGCCUUGCGCGGACGGAGCGGCCGAUGGCAGAUUAGGUAGUUGGUGGGAUAAAAGCUUACCAAGCCGACGAUCUGUAGCUGGUCUGAGAGGACGACCAGCCACACUGGGACUGAGACACGGCCCAGACUCCUACGGGAGGCAGCAGUGGGGAAUUUUGGACGAUGGGCGAAAGCCUGAUCCAGCCAUGCCGCGUGCAGGAUGAAGGCCUUC